CAUAGGCUUGGUCCUGGCCUUUCUAUUGACUCCGAGCAAGAUUACACAUGCAAGUAUCCGCCUCCCAGUGAGAGUGCCCUCUAAGUCGUCAACGACUAAAAGGAGCGGGCAUCAAGUACACUACCUAGUAGCUCAUGACGCCUUGCUUAGCCACACCCCCACGGGCAACAGCAGUGACAAAACUUAAGCAAUGAACGAAAGUUCGACUAAGCUAUGCUCUAACAACAAGGGUUGGUCAAUUUCGUGCCAGCCACCGCGGUCAUACGAUUAACCCAAGCCAAUGGAAGCACGGCGUAAGGCGUGUUUAAGGGAUCACAAAAAUAAAGUUAAACCCUGACUAGGCUGUAAAAAGCACCAGCCAGGACGAAAAUAGACUACGAAAGUGACUUUACAACCCCUGAGCACACGAUAGCUAAGACCCAAACUGGGAUUAGAUACCCCACUAUGCUUAGCCUUAAACAUAGAUUACUCUUCAACAAUCUAAUUCGCCAGAGUACUACGGACAACAGUCUAAAACUCAAAGGACUUGGCGGUGCUUCACAUCCCUCUAGAGGAGCCUGUCCUGUAAUCGAUAAACCCCGAUAAACCUCACCAGUCCUUGCUAAUCCAGCCUAUAUACCGCCAUCCUCAGCAAACCCUAAAAAGGAACUACAGUAAGCGCAAACACCAAACGCAAAAACGUUAGGUCAAGGUGUAGCCCAUGGACUGGAAAGAGAUGGGCUACAUUUUCUUGUCCAAGAACAUAACCAACUAACGGAUACUCUUGUGAAAACCAAGAGUGUAAGGAGGAUUUAGUAGUAAGCCAAGAACAGAGAGCUUGACUGAAUUAGGCCAUGAAGCACGCACACACCGCCCGUCACCCUCCUCAAGUAAUAAAGCACAGACAAUACCCUAUUCGUAAGUACUAGAAUACAAGAGGAGAUAAGUCGUAACAAGGUAAGCGUACUGGAAAGUGCGCUUGGACAUAC
rnacentral:ncRNA from 1 species